rnacentral:rRNA from 1 species
GGGAUAGCCGCGGGAAACCGCGGGUAAUACCGGAUAAUGUCUCCGGACCAAAGGUGUGAUUCCGCCUGGGGACGGGUCCGCGUCCUAUUAGCUUGUUGGUGAGGUAACGGCUCACCAAGGCGACGAUGGGUACCGGGUGUGAGAGCAUGGCCCGGCUCACUGGGACUGAGACACUGCCCAGACACCUACGGGUGGCUGCAGUCGAGAAUCUUCGGCAAUGGACGCAAGUCCGACCGAGCGACGCCGCGUGCGGGAUGAAGGCCUUCGGGUUGUAAACCGCUGUCAGAGGGGAGGAAAUCCUGUGGGGUUCUCUCCACAGGUUGACCUAUCCUCAGAGGAAGUGCGGGCUAAGUUCGUGCCAGCAGCCGCGGUAAGACGAACCGUACAAACGUUAUUCGGAAUCACUGGGCUUAAAGGGUGCGUAGGCGGCCCUGCAAGUUGGGUGUGAAAGCCCUCGGCUCAACCGAGGAAUUGCGCCCAAAACUGCGGGGCUUGAGGGAGACAGAGGUGAGCGGAACUUAGGGUGGAGCGGUGAAAUGCGUUGAUAUCCUGAGGAACACCUGUAGCGAAAGCGGCUCACUGGGUCUCUUCUGACGCUGAGGCACGAAAGCUAGGGGAGCGAACGGGAUUAGAUACCCCGGUAGUCCUAGCUGUAAACGUUGAGCACUUGGUCGGAGAGUCCUCCAUAGCUUUCCGGUCGCAGCGAAAGUUGAUAAGUGCUCCGCCU